AAUUAAAAUACACAAUAGUAUAAUAAAGUAUUAAGCUACCUUUAAAACAUUGAAUAAUUUAAAAAAUACAACUGCUAUAUACUACUAACUGAUAUUUUAUCUUCAUUUAUCUUCGUAAUCCGUGUAAUUUAAUAAUUGCCGCGUUAUGCAAAGUACCGUUUCAUCAUUUUGACAAUAUUAUCAUUGUCGACGAGAAAAUAUUAAAAACGAGACGAACUCGUCAAGAAACAAAAUAAUUUUUUUCUAAUUUAACAAAACGGAUAAUAUUACGAAUAAAACCAUAUUAUGGAUAUUAAAAGAUAACUAAUUAACAGUUCAUCUAGAUAUACGAGACUCAACACUACCCGCAUUAUUGCAAUAGGUGCCGAAAAACUUUUUUUACGUUUAAAACUCAGGUCCUGACAGACUGCGGAAUACCAA